rnacentral:rRNA from 1 species
UACGUAGGGUGCGGGCGUUGUCCGGAAUUAUUGGGCGUAAAGGGCUCGUAGGCGGUUUGUCGCGUCGGGAGUGAAAACCUUGGGCUUAACUCAGGGCUUGCUUUCGAUACGGGCAGACUAGAGGUAGGUAGGGGAGAACGGAAUUCCUGGUGUAGCGGUGAAAUGCGCAGAUAUCAGGAGGAACACCGGUGGCGAAGGCGGUUCUCUGGGCCUUACCUGACGCUGAGGAGCGAAAGCAUGGGGAGCAAACAGG